rnacentral:misc_RNA from 1 species
UUUCCGUAGGUGAACCUGCGGAAGGAUCACUAAAGAGAACUGCCUUCGGGCUAAUCUCCCACCCUUUGUUUACAUUACCUUUGUUGCUUUGGCAGGCCCGUCCUCGGACCGCUGGCUUCGGCUAGUCCGUGCCUGCCAGAGGAAAUUCAACUCUGAAUUUAAGUGUUGUCUGAGUAAAAACAUAAUAUUUAAAACUUUCAACAACGGAUCUCUUGGCUCUGGCAUCGAUGAAGAACGCAGC